AAUCUUCCACAAUGGGCGAAAGCCUGAUGCAGCUAUGCCGCGUGAGGGAUGACGGCCNNNCGGUUNUCACCCUCUUUCAGUAGNGAANAAGCGCAAGUGACGGUACCUGCAGACGAAGCGCCGGCUACCUACGUGCCACCAGCCGCGGUAAUACGUAGGGCGCAAGCGUUAUCCGGAUUUAUUGGGCGUAAAGAGCGCGUAGGCGGUUUGUCGCGUCUGCCGUGAAAGUCCGAGGCUCAACCUCGGAUCUGCGGUGGGUACGGGCAGACUAGAGGGAUGUAGGGGAGACUGGAAUUCCUGGUGUAGCAGUGAAAUGCGCAGAUAUCAGGAGGAACACCGAUGGCGAAGGCAGGUCUCUGGGCAUUUACUGACGCUGAGGAGCGAAAGCAUGGGGAGCGAAC
rnacentral:rRNA from 1 species